rnacentral:tRNA from 1 species
AUUACUUUGGCAGAUUAGUGCCAUGGAUUUAGAAUUCAUUUAUGUAUAUUUAUACAAGUAAUA